GCUAGCGUAGCUUAAAAAAAGCAUAGCAUUGAAGAUGCUAAGACGGGCCCUAGUAAGCUCCGCAUGCA
rnacentral:tRNA from 1 species